CCCCGAAUCAAACCCUGAAACCCAAAGUAAACCUAAACUAGCAUCGAUUUGCAAGGAGGAACAAUUCGUAAACCAAACAACCCAAAUCGAAAACCAACAAAACAAUUCGAAAACCCAAAUCGAAUACCAAAAAUGUCACAUCCCGACCCUUAUAUUUUUACCUUAUUUACUAGCGUGAUUAUAAUAAGAAUUUUACCGUCUCAAUCAUUGAAUUAAUUGUUAAUGGGUCCCUAGAGGGGUUUCGGGGACGAUUAUGUGCGGAGGAUUAUUCGUAUGAGGAAAAUACGACGACGGUAAAAAUGGUAAAUUUUAGCUAGUAAAAGGUAAUUUUUAUUCGGGUAUUAUUUUUCGGGGUGUUUUUAUUUUUUUGAGUUGGGUUGAUAAGGGUGGACCGGUUGGGAGGCCCAACCCAUUUCCUCUCUCUCUCUUCUUCUCCCUUUUCUCUUUCUUCUCUCCCCCGUGUUUCCCUCCCGCUGUCCGAUUUUCCGGCCGCCAGACCGCCGCCGUCCGGCCGCCCCAGACCGCCGCACCGGUCUCAAUCGAUCGGUCUCCGACCCAGCUAUCUUCUAGGACCGGUGACAGCCCCCCUAGCGCCGCCGUGAGAGAGCGGUGCCGCUCGAAAGGCUAGGCUGCCCCGAACUUCCGAUCGCCGGAACUCCCUCCUCCGGCCACCAAUCCGGGCAAGCUUGGUACGGUUUUGUAGCCCUCCUCCCGUGCAGCAACCCCUCCAAGUAGCUCCCUCCCUCUUGAGCUAGCUAAGGAGAAAUGUGGAGUUGAAAUUUCUAGGGCUUUUAAGUUGUUUUCGUUCGAUUAGCCUAGUUAGGCUUGGAAUUGGGUGAUGUGUUGGUCAUGAAAGUUGUAGAGGAGAUUGAGAGGAAUAUUCUGUUAAAAUUUGGUAGCAUUUCCAGGUCGCCGGAGUUGGUCGCCGGCCGCCGCUGUUUUGGGAAAUUUUGUGGUUUUUGAUGUAGAAUAUUAAGGGGAUAUUAUUGAGGUGAAUUUUGGAAUUUUUGGAUGAGAUUUGGAUAGGUUUGUGAAUUUCCGAAGUGUGGUAUUUUUGGCAGUUAAUUAAUGUAGAAUCCGGCCGUAGGAUUUAAGUCGUAUUUUGGAGAGGUUGUAUUUACGACUGUUGAGUAUGAUAUUUAAGUUCGGAUCGUUCCGAUUUAAGAAUAUCGAAGUUAGGCAAUGAUGAGCGUAUUUAUGGCUCUCGGGUAAUUUUGCCUAUUUUGAUUAAAUAUUGGAUUAUUCGUUUGGAAAUUAAUAUUAUAUUUGGAACAGGACGUGAGGAGGCUCGAGCAGACGAGGCCCCAGAUCGACAUCAGGCUUAGGCCUAAUUUGUGAGUGGACUUUUAUUUG
rnacentral:lncRNA from 1 species